rnacentral:rRNA from 1 species
CCCUUAGAUGUUCUGGGCGGCCCGCGCACUACAAUGGCGUGUGCAGCGAGUGCCGAAGUAGAGUUUUCCGAGGUAUUCUUGCAAUGCUCGUUUUGAUGGGGAUAGACCCUUGCAACUGUUGGUUUUGAACGAGGAAUUCCUUGUAAGCAUGGUUUAUCAUCCGACGCUGAAUGCGUCCCUGCCCUUUGUACACACCGCCCGUCGCUCCUACCGAUGAGUCGUCCGGUGAAGUUCGUAGACCUCGUGAUCGCGGAUCACUGGGGGAAGCAAAAUGAACCUCGCGGUUGAGAGGAAGGAGAAGUCGUAACA